UUGACUACUGUAUGUGUCUGUGUGUCUCGUCUCAAUAAAGCUGCAAUGUCUCCGUAUCUCAUCCCUCCAGGUGAUGCCUUCCCAGCAGCCUCCAGUCCCUUCCUGCCGGGCUAUUCCGGCCCCUCCCCCCUAACCUCUGACCCAGCCUACAGAUCACCCAAUCAGAUGGCUCAGCUCUGGGCCUCACACGCUGCUGCCCACGAAGAGAGGUUCUUUCUGCCGGUGUCGUUACCCCAGCCGCCUCUUCAACCCUCCUCCGUCCCCCCCAGUUCCACCCCCCAGAGUAGCUCCCGGGAGGGGGGCAGGGACCGAGACAUACUCUACCGCGAGGAGAGGGAGAGAGAGGAGCCUCAGGAGGGGGGCAGAGCCCGAGACAGACUCUACCGUGUGGCGAGGGAGAGAGAGGAGCCCCAGGAGGGGGGCAGGGACCGAGACAGACUCUGCUGUGAGGAGAGAGAGGAGCCUCAGGAGGGGGGCAGGGACCGAGACAGACUCUACCACGAGGAGAGAGAGGAGCCCCGGGAGGGGGGCAGAGACAGACUCUACCGCGAGGAGAGAGGGCGAGGCGAGAGGGAGCGGUCGAGAGAGGAGCCUCGUCCAUACAGUGUGGUAGAUCUGACACAGGAUGGGAGGAGUGGAGAGAGAGAACGCCACAGAGAACGAGAGACUGAGCGAGACAGAGACCGAGAGAGAGAGGUUCUCCUCCACCACCCCUCUGCUUCUCGACCCCCCAGGGCUCCUCCUCUUCUGGGCGUUACCCAGAGACUGAUGACACACCCACUCGCUCCCCCAACCCUAACCCCAGCCCCCACACACACACAGACAGGCUGAGGAAGACUGAAUCUACCUACAGCGGUGCACUCCUUCCUGGCCCCGCCUACCCUGCACACCGGGAGCCUAUCAGGGAACAGCGUGUGAGCGCGCCCACUUACGUGCCUUCUGUGGAGGUCUAUGAUGAGCAGGUCGGCCCGAUCCAGAUCGCAUCGCAGGCCAGGGACAAACAGGACAAACUGA
ensembl:lncRNA